UACGUAGGCAGCGAGCGUUGUUCGGAUUUACUGGGCGUAAAGGGUGUGUAGGCGGUUGUUUAAGUUUGGUGUGAAAUCUCCCGGCUCAACUGGGAGGGUGCGCCGAAUACUGAAUGACUCGAGUGCGGGAGAGGAAAGUGGAAUUCCUGGUGUAGCGGUGAAAUGCGUAGAUAUCAGGAGGAACACCGGUGGUGUAGACGGCUUUCUGGACCGUAACUGACGCUGAGGAGCGAAAGCGUGGGGAGCGAACAGG
rnacentral:rRNA from 1 species